CAAUAGCGUAUAUUAAAGUUGUUGCAGUUAAAAAGCUCGUAGUUGGAUUUCUGGCAGGAGCGACCGGUCACACACUCUGUGUGUGAACUUGUGUUGUCUCUGGCCAUCCUUGGGGAGAUCCUGUUUGGCAUUAAGUUGUCGGGCAGGGGACAUCCAUCGUUUACUGUGAAAAAAUUAGAGUGUUUAAAGCAGGCUUAUGCCGUUGAAUAUAUUAGCAUGGAAUAAUAAGAUAGGACUUCGGAACUAUUUUGUUGGUUUGCGUUACGAAGUAAUGAUUAAUAGGGACAGUUGGGGGUAUUCGUAUUUCGUUGUCAGAGGUGAAAUUCUUGGAUUUCCGAAAGACGAACUACUGCGAAAGCAUUUACCAAGGAUGUUUUCAUUA
rnacentral:rRNA from 1 species